rnacentral:rRNA from 1 species
AUGCAACAGAGAGGCGUCGAGGCGGCGGUGCCCUCGAGCGCCGCAUUAGGCGGCGACAUCGAGGCGGGGAGGCGGCGCUGCGCUCCGAGGAUGCAGCAGCGAGGCGUCGAGGAGCCGCUGUGCUCGGGUGCCGCAUCAGGCGGCGGCAGCGAGGCAGGAGGCGCACGGGGAGAUGAAGGAGGAGAAAAUGGAGAGUCGGCCGGGGCACGAACCACAGCGGCGCAAGCUUGCAGGGGGCGAUGGCCAUAG